rnacentral:lncRNA from 1 species
UAUCACAGAAAGUGAAAUCCAUGGGCUACUCCAUACAAAUAUCUUUUCAAGAUAUCUAAUCAGAAAAGUUAUUUUACAUCUCAUUCUUGGAGUUGAUGUCUAACAUCGUCUUGUUGUAAGCUUUGGAAUCAUCUUUAUAUUCCCUAUCUCUCAUGAGAAAUACUUUUCUCUACAUUCUUUGUUAAACAUACCUUAGUACUUUUCGAGAGGAUGGGAGAUCCUACUAUAUCUAUGAGGUGAAGGUACAUACAUGUACUGGCUCAUCAUGAAUAGAUUCUUUAGGUCCUAUGAUUCGUUGCUUUUCAGAGACACUCUCUUCAAGCUUAACUUUUCUCUCACUGCUUCAUAUUGGAUAAAUCAUUUUUCAAGAAGACAGCUUGAAGGGUCACAAUUACAUUGUGAUCUUUUCGGAAGAAAAAGUAGUAUCCCAAAUUUUUUUAAGAUAUUCUUUGAAAUGAGCUCUAUAGACCUAAUCUCUAACAUGUCCGUCUGCUGUCCUUGACACGGGCUGGACAUCUCUAAAUCUUGAAAUAACUAAGAUUUGAUUCUCACUGUGCCUUAUCACAUAUGGUGCGGUAGGAACGGAUUUAAAGAAAAUUUUAUUCAGUAGGCAAAUUUUAAAAAUAAAGCAUGUCCCUAAAGAAACAAAGAUAAAUCAGUGAAGUUCAUCAUGAAUCGGUUCAUAUCUCAUACAAUCCCAUUCCUCUUCUUAAUUAUCUCGUUGAGCUGAGAUGUAUUAAGAGGGGUUCAAUAUGAAACAAUGCCAUUUUUAUGAGAUAACAGAGAAAUUCUUUAUUUUGGUAUUGCAUUCUCGAUCAGAUCGAAGAAUUUUUAAAAAUUUUCAGUUUGCUUCUGUACUUCACUUUGAAUUCUUUGAACUUUUCAAAAGUUUUAGAUUUGUAUCUCAUACACAUAUCCAUACUAUGACUGAUCAUCGAUAAAGGCAAUGAAGUAGAGAUAACCUCCUUUGGCUAGUACAUCAAAUGGGCUGCACACA